rnacentral:tRNA from 4 species
GGAGAGAUGGCAGAGCGGUCUAAUGCGGCGGUCUUGAAAACCGUUGACUGUCACAGGUCCGGGGGUUCGAAUCCCUCUCUCUCCG